rnacentral:piRNA from 1 species
UGAUAUGGCGAAGGUGACGCUGGCCUGUG